AGGAAGGUGCAUCCCUCCUGAGUAGUGACGUCACUGACCGGAGGGGGACACACAGACGGGAUGAUCCAGGAAGUGAGGUGAGAACGGAAGACAAAACAGCGUUGGGUCCCAGCAACGCCUCGGCAGUGGCUGUCCCUGGCAACAUCGAGGCGGUCUGUGCCAGUUUUGGGCCACUUCUGUCCCGGGGUUUCUUUGAGCCCAGAAGAAUGUCAGGGGGGAGAUUUGGAAACCUUCCCCCAGCUCAGGAUGAAUGGCUGUCCACUGAGCACACUCCCCCGCUCUCUCUACCAUCCCAUCCAACCUCCCUCCUCUACACACAGAGAAGAAGCUGAAAACUGAAUGUUCUCUUCUUCCCCUUAUCUGGAGACAAAUCACCAACAAGAAGUCAGACGGAGCAAGAACACGUCAAACAAAGGGGCCGUUAUGACCUGCAAGCCAGGGAGCCAAGCUAGCACUACCAUUUGCGGCCUAAUCUGCCAGAAUAUUUACUGUUAGGCAAUCACCAAUGGCAGAGCUGGUAUUACAGUGUCAUCCUACAGAUCACUGAGGUUUCUCAGUAUUGUUUGGGUAUAUUUCGGUAUGCCAAGGUAUGCUAUCGUGUUUAGAUUAAUUACACUAUUGGUUUUCAAUAAUUAGAUUACAACAACAAAAUCAAUAUGCAAGAACUUGCUUGAGUUAGGUAAUCCAUUACAUUGGUUUUACGUAGUAGCACAGUAGUACCCACAGCCUGUUUAAUGAAGUUUAUUACCACAGCAAACUGAAAAUGUUUACUAAUCUGCCAGAAUAUUUACUGUUAGGCAAUCACCAAUGGCAGAGCUGGUAUUACAGUGUCAUCCUACAGAUCACUGAGGUUUCUCAGUAUUGUUUGGAUAUAUUUCGGUAUGAAAUGAUUAUUAGCGGUGCAGUGGUUGCACUGGGCUACUGCAGGCCUGUAGGUGUGAAUGUGAGUCUGUAUGGUUCAGCCCUAUGACUGACUGGUGGCCUGUCCAGGCAUAAGUAAGUAAAGCUGAGUGUGGUGGACUGUAUAUUUACUCAAGUACUGUGUACUGUAUUUGUACUUGAGUAUUUUCUUUUCAUGUCACUUUCUACUUCUACUCCACCACAUCUCAGAGGGAGAUAUUGUCC